rnacentral:pre_miRNA from 1 species
UUUUGGUCUACCUUUGACCCAAUGCCACGUGCAACCUGAGGUGAACAUGUAAUAUAUAACUGUUUACGAUAUGUUAAAUAUUGCUUGUUUACUCAGGCUGCAAGCGGACCAGUUAUCGAGGUUGACAUCAA